UACAGAGGUCCCAAGCGUUGUUCGGAUUCAUUGGGCGUAAAGGGUGCGUAGGCGGCGCGGUAAGUCGGGUGUGAAAUCUCGGAGCUUAAUUCCGAAACUGCAUUCGAUACUGCCGUGCUUGAGGACUGGAGAGGAGACUGGAAUUUACGGUGUAGCGGUGAAAUGCGUAGAUAUCGUAAGGAAGACCAGUGGCGAAGGCGGGUCUCUGGACAGUUCCUGACGCUGAGGCACGAAGGCCAGGGAGCAAACGGG
rnacentral:rRNA from 1 species